GACCUACGGGUGGCUGCAGUGGGGAAUUUUACGCAAUGGGGGAAACCCUGACGUAGCGACACCGCGUGAUCGAAGAAGCCUUUUGGGGUGUAAAGUUCUGUCAGCAGGAACGAAAUAAAUGACGGUACCUGCAGAGGAAGCAUCGGCUAACUACGUGCCAGCAGCCGCGGUAAGACGUAGGAUGCGAGCGUUGUCCGGAUUCAUUGGGCGUAAGGAGUUCGUAGGCGGUUCAUUAAGUCUGGUGUUAAAGACUGGGGCUCAACCCUGGAAGAGCACUGGAUACUGGUGGGCUGGAGUGUGGUAGAGGCAAGCGGAAUUCCUGGUGUAGCGGUGAAAUGCGUAGAUAUCAGGAAGAACACCGGUGGCGUAAGCGGCUUGCUGGGCCAUAACUGACGCUGAGGAACGAAAGCUAGGGUAGCGAAUGGGAUUAGAUACCCUUGUAGUCA
rnacentral:rRNA from 1 species